rnacentral:rRNA from 1 species
CUCGUAGGUGGCCAACUAAGUCAGACGUGAAAUCCCUCAGCUUAACUGGGGAACUGCGUCUGAUACUGGAUGGCUUGAGUUUGGGAGAGGGAUGCGGAAUUCCAGGUGUAGCGGUGAAAUGCGUAGAUAUCUGGAGGAACACCGGUGGCGAAGGCGGCAUCCUGGACCAAUACUGACACUGAGGAGCGAAAGCCAGGGGAGCAAACG